rnacentral:tRNA from 1 species
GCUGGGGUCGCAUAGUGGUAUUGCGCUGGCCUGCUAAGCCAGUGUCCUUCGGGACACGCGGGUUCGAAUCCCGCCCCCAGCG